rnacentral:rRNA from 1 species
AUGGACCACAUCAGCAAUCUCCCAGACGACAUACUUGGGGAUAUCAUCUCGCUUCUCCCCACCAAGGAUUGCUGCCGCACACAAGUCCUCUCAACUCGGUGGCGCCCGCUAUGGCGCACCGCGCCCCUCAAUCUCGUCUGUCGUCAGAUUUCUGUCCUUCCUGAAUUUGAUCUCCUCACAGCCAUCGUCUCCUCUCACCAGUAG